rnacentral:rRNA from 1 species
GACGAACGCUGGCGGCGUGCUUAACACAUGCAAGUCGAACGGGAGUAUUGAAGAAGCUUGCUUUAGAGAUACUUUAGUGGCGGACGGGUGAGUAACGCGUGAGGAGCUGUCCUAUGCAGGGGGACAACAGCUGGAAACGGCUGCUAAUACCCCAUAAGCCGAGAGGUAAAAGGAUCAAUCCGGCAGAGGAGGUACUCGCGUCCUAUCAGCUAGUAGGUGAGGUAACGGCUCACCUAGGCGAAGACGGGUAGCCGGCCUGAGAGGGCGAACGGCCACACUGGAACUGAGAUACGGUCCAGACUCCUACGGGAGGCAGCAGUGGGGAAUAUUGGGCAAUGGGGGAAACCCUGACCCAGCGACGCCGCGUGGGUGAAGAAAUCCUUCGGGAUGUAAAGCCCUGUUGUAUGGGAAGAGCGGAAGACGGUACCAUACGAGGAAGCCCCGGCAAACUACGUGC